rnacentral:rRNA from 1 species
AAUCAACGCUGGCGGCGUGCCUCAGACAUGCAAGUCGAACGAUUAAGACUUCCUUCGGGAAGUGUAUAAAGUGGCGCACGGGUGAGUAACACGUAAGUAAUCUACCUUCGAGUGGGGAAUAACAUCGGGAAACCGAUGCUAAUACCGCAUAAUGCAGCGGCAUCGCAAGAUGACAGUUGUUAAAGGAGCAAUUCGCUUGAAGAGGAGCUUGCGGCAGAUUAGCUAGUUGGUAAGGUAAUGGCUAACCAAGGCUACGAUCUGUAUCCGGUCUAAGAGGACGGUCGGACACACUGACACUGAAUAACGGGUCAGACUCCUACGGGAGGCAGCAGUCGGGAAUUUUGGGCAAUGGGCGAAAGCCUGACCCAGCAACGCCGCGUGAGGGAUGAAGUAUUUCGGUAUGUAAACCUCGAAAGAAUGGGAAGAAUAAAUGACGGUACCAUUUAUAAGCUCCGGCUAACUACGUGCCAGCCGCCGCCGUAAAAC